rnacentral:rRNA from 1 species
ACAAAUGUGGAGGAAAAUGAGUUUGAGAUCUUUAUGGGUAAACUCAAGGGUAAAUCCAAGAAGCACUUCGUUGCUCUCUUGGAACAACUUGGUGAAGCCAAUGACAUGAUCGAGGCUCACGAAGAUACCAUCUCUAAGAUGGAGGGGCAUAGUCGUGACUAUGCCGAUGAGAUUUCGGAUCUUUCCAAUGCUCUUGACGAAGAGCGUGGUCUUCGUUUGGCUCUUGAGGAGUCAUACAACGAUGAUCAUGCUAAGUUAAAGAAAGAUCUUGAUCAUGCUCUUGUUGUGUCUCGUGUGCUAAACUCCGAGAAGGCAAAACUUGGGGUUGAUCUUGCUAGACUUAAAGAGGAGUUUGACAUUCUCGACAAGGCUCACAAAGUCUUGAAGGGUGCCCAUGCUAGCCUCAAGGAGUCUCAUGAUCAACUCCAAGUAAUGCUAACUAAGGAGAAAGCCACCUUUCCUCAUAUGGUGUUAAUUGAUAAUGCAAAUGCUACUAACCCUUGUUGUGAGCAUGUGCAUCUUGUUGAGGAGAAUGCUAAGUUGAAGGAGCAACUUGAGAAAGGCCUUGUGUCAUGCAUACAAGGUGAGAAGAACCUCAACGACCUUUUGAGAAACCAAAAGGAAGUUGUAGCCAAGGAGGGGAUUGGGUUCGCUCCCAAGCCCAAGAACAAGAAGAAGAAUGACAAGACCAAACGACCUCCCCCUCUCAAGCAAACUUUUGUGAAGGAGGGAGAG